CCCAGACUCCUACGGGAGGCAGCAGUGGGGGAUAUUGCACAAUGGGGGGAACCCUGAUGCAGCGACGCCGCGUGGGUGAAGGAGCGUUUCGGCGCGUAAAGCCCUAUCGGCAGGGAAGAAGGAGGACGGUACCUGACUAAGAAGCCCCGGCUAACUACGUGCCAGCAGCCGCGGUAAUAUGUAGGGGGCAAGCGUUAUCCGGAUUUACUGGGUGUAAAGGGGGCGCAGACGGCAGCGCAAGCCAGGAGUGAAAGCCCGGGGCGCAACCCCGGGACUGCUCUUGGAACUGCGCGGCUGGAGUGCAGGAGGGGCAGGCGGAAUUCCUGGUGUAGCGGUGAAAUGCGUAGAUAUCAGGAGGAACACCGGUGGCGAAGGCGGCCUGCUGGACUGCGACUGACGUUGAGGCCCGAAAGCGUGGGGAGCAAACAGGAUUAGAUACCCUGGUAC
rnacentral:rRNA from 1 species